GUUGACACCCAAAUUCAACGCAAAUCCCAAUCAUGUCCCCCCCUUGGCUCACCUCCCCCUCCUGCUCUCCUCCGCCCUCCGCCACCGUAACCCGAUGGCUCCGCUUCCUCGUCCUCUCCCCGUGCCCCCAGCGCUUCCUCUUCUCCGCCGUCGACGCUCUCUUCCUUCUCUCCCUCCUCUUCCUCGCUGCCCACCGACUCCUCACCCGCCGCCACACCUCCGACAUCUCCAAACCCCUCCUCCCCGUAAAACCUAUCCAAAUCUCUCUCCUAUACAAACUCACUCUCGCCAUCACCGCCCUCCUCGCCGCCGCCUAUGCCGCCGCCCUCGCUGUCCUCCUUGCCCUCACCCCGCGAUCCAGCUGGCUCCUCUCCGACUCCGCUCUCCUCCUCCUCCAGCUCCUCGCCCACCUUG
rnacentral:misc_RNA from 1 species